rnacentral:piRNA from 1 species
UUGUGUGUGGGAAGAGCAUGACUGUC